rnacentral:hammerhead_ribozyme from 1 species
AUCCAACUGAUGAGUUCCAAAUAGGACGAAAAGCGCGUCCUGGAU